rnacentral:tRNA from 1 species
GUUGCGAGUAGCGCAGUUGGUAGCGCAAUGGCCCUCUAAGCCAUCGGUCGCCGGUUCAAAUCCGGCCUCACGAUA